GCAACUCGCCUACAUGAAGUCGGAAUUGCUAGUAAUCGCGGAUCAGCAUGCCGCGGUGAAUACGUUCCCGGGCCUUGUACACACCGCCCGUCACACCAUGGGAGUCGGUAACACCCGAAGCCUGUAGUCUAACCGCAAGGGGACGCAGUCGAAGGUGGGAUUGAUGACUGGGGUGAAGUCGUAACAAGGUAAC
rnacentral:rRNA from 1 species